UAGAAAAUACAGUAAUUUAAGAAGACUUACGUGUACUCUUAAGUGAUGUCCCAGUUAGUCGAGAUAUUAUUCGCUUGAGAUUGUGACAUUCGACCGAUGUGCCAAUUUCUUUCCAUAGAGACGUUUUCUAUGCUAUUUACACGUUAUCUCUUCUUUAUAAGAUUCGUGCAGAGAUUAGACUUUAAAAAUUACUUUCGCAACUGUUAUAGAAUAUAACAUGCCAAACAGUUAAAAGCAAUUAAAACGGAGUAGAGAUGAAUAGUAGACAUAGAACCAAAUUUGCAUCAAUCUGCAUUCUGCUCGGGGUAUUGCUACCGUAAUUCCACGAUUCGUUUCACCUGUGAUAGGAAGUCCCGAUGCGAAACGGUGUCAGUGCCUGUCGUUACGCUUAUCCGAAAGAACCAACUACUUUUUGACUUACAUUCGAUUCUGCAGUCCAACAACCCUCUCUUGAAACGACUCGAGAAAAAUGGUACCAGAUCCCUAAAAUAUGCUUUAGUGAUUUCUUCUCCUAUUACAAAGAGUGUUUUUAAUUUACCUAUAAAAUCUAUAAAAGACAUCCAAAAUACAGAAUAGAACGCAAUUAUUAAAGCAUCAUCGUCUUUAUUAAUAAGCUGAGAAUAUCUUUACUAUCUGUGUUACAGUAGUUUUUUUUAUACUAAAUAUAUA